AGAGUUUGAUCCUGGCUCAGAAUCAACGCUGGCGGCGUGCCUCAGACAUGCAAGUCGAACGCGAAAGUCUCCUUCGGGAGAUGAGUAGAGUGGCGCACGGGUGAGUAACACGUAGGUAAUCUACCUUCGGGUGGGGAAUAACCCAGGGAAACUUGGGCUAACACCGCAUAAUGCAGCGGCACCACAUGGUGACAGUUGUUAAAGCGGGGGAUUUUAGGACCUCGCGCCUGAAGAGGAGCCUGCGGCAGAUUAGCUAGUUGGUAAGGUAAUGGCUUACCAAGGCGACGAUCUGUAGCCGGCCUGAGAGGGCGGUCGGCCACACUGACACUGACAUACGGGUCAGACUCCUACGGGAGGCAGCAGUCGGGAAUUUUGGGCAAUGGGCGAAAGCCUGACCCAGCAACGCCGCGUGAAGGAUGAAAUCCCUCGGGAUGUAAACUUCGCAAGAAUGGGAAGAAUUAGUAGGGGUUAAUACCCUCUAUGAUGACGGUACCAUUUGUAAGCUCCGGCUAACUCCGUGCCAGCCGCCGCGGUAAUAC
rnacentral:rRNA from 1 species